GGGUCCCGGGAUCACCGAUGGCCAGAACGGACUCGCUGAUCGCCCAACUUCAUCCUCCUCCUCCUCAGGCCUGUCAAACAUCGUGGAGGACAUCGUCACUGGGCUGCUCUGGACAGUGGCCCCGGCGUGCACUCCGCCCGACGGCACCGGCCCUGCUGGAGAGCUGGACAGGCCGCCCAGCCUGCUCUGUGUGCUCAGUUACCUCAGACAGCGGCAGGACAGGCCCAGGAGGAGCGUCCCGGGGACACGCCUGUGGGUCGUGUGGAAGCCCCUGUGCUGUUGACACGUGCGAGACAAUAUUCAGACCCCCCGAAUCAGAAAAACUGAAACAGGUUCCGCUCUCAAAUAACACUAUAAAAAGAAGAAUUUUACUUUGCUAUUCCUCUGGUCCCGGUUCCAUUCUCCUGGGAUAACAUCUGUGACUCCUGGAAAACUAGCCAUCCAGGAGAUGUACGAGAAAGAUAUAACUGGCCCUUUGGCAAUAGUGUUACUCUAGGGGGGUGGAAUAUGCCCCCAUAUGAUGAGGAACGUAAGACAGGGAAUGUUCUGAAUUUAAAGUAAGCAUUUAGAAGAAGUACAUGUACUUAUACAGUUACUUGUAAUCAUAAUGCUACCCUGCGGAUACUUAACUACUCAUCCUCCUAAUGAAGAGAGAUAUACCAGAAGGGGAAGAUUCUGGGGCAGUGCCGCCCCGCUCGUCUCCGGAGCCGGAUCAACAGUGGCGUCGCCCCGGCGGUCAGACCCGCCCGCCCGCAUGGCGACGGGGCACAAGCGAUCGCGGCUGCAGGCGGCCUUCCCGUCUCCCUCCAGGACCACACUCCCGGAGGAACGGGCAGUCUGGAGCAGGAAUUUCUAAGAGGGGGCAAAAGAUUCAAUUCCCUGUAAGGAAUCCUGGGGAGCGGAAAAAACUUGGAAUUCCUUCCUGAGAUCCUUGCGCUUGCUGCCUUCAGCGGGAAGGGAGACGGGAUUCAGCUGCAGAGCACGGGAGGUCCACUCUGCCCUCAGGAUGCGACAGUGCGGACUGUGUCGUUUUAGCAGACUGUAGACUCCACUUAGUCGAAUAUUCAGCCGACUCGACUGACGAUUUAAAAAGCACAGCUUUGGUUGUGAAAGUUUGUUCCUCUUGGUUGUGAAGUAAAAUCCACUCUGCACCUCUCUGGCCCAACACUGCUCCUGCAACACAAAACACACGAGUUAUUCUUCCUCGGAAACAUGGGGCGCAGCUUCCCUGUCGACAGCGGAGUCUAACUCCCUGGACUGGCUGUGAAAGCGAACAGAGACAGUCCGUGGCCAGCAGCUGGCCGGUCUCCCAGAAGCAUGCGAGACGCGCAGGAUCUUGUGUUUGUGCGUUUCUACUGGGCACUGAGGCCGCACAGCUCUGUCGGACAUCACGCACAGCUGCGCAACGCAAAACAAUAAAACUCACACAGGGACACAGGGAUCGCAUCUUGUUUGUGCAUCAGAGAUAAAGAGUGUUCUAAAACCAGUCCCAGUCCCAGUCGUGCUCAGACCUGCAGUGUCCGACUGUUCUGGACACAGAGGACACAGAGUUAACUCUUGAAAGACACGGCAGGCUGUAUAACUGCUGCACUCUGCAGGUGU
ensembl:lincRNA